CAAUCAUCUUUUAAGUUUUCACAGCCCACACCAGCAAUGUUGAAGUUAGGUCUUAGAAUGGAAUGGUGUCUACACUCAAAGGCAGAGUGAGCAGCUCCUCGAGGAUCCUCAGCCCCCUAGCAUGGAGGAGUUCAUCAACGCGCCUCUGAGAGCAGAUCGUGAUGGCGCAAGACAGUGAGUGAAGGAGAUCUUCAGGGCCAGCAAAAGGAACCCUCUCUAAAGAACCACACCUGAGGGGCCUCAUUUGCACCCAGACCUGAGUUGGAGGCUGAGGCCCUGGAUUUGGAGCCUGAGCCUGAAGGCUUCAUGGCCGAUACCAGUUGCUGGUCGCUCCAAGAGGGUAGCUGGACUUCCUCCAUGGCUGGUGCCCAGGACUCCCAGAAGCCCAAGUCCCUGAGUCAAAGCCCUCUGAAGACUCAAGGAUGGCAGAUCCAGUCCAAGGCAGAAAUACAUUUCAAAGGCUGGCCUGUCCCUCCUCCCCCUCGCUCACUAUGGUGUUUGUCACUUCCUUCCCUGGGAGCAUCCGGGGCCCCAGCCUUGGGGAAAGGUGAAGGCAAAAUUGUUGGAUCAAAGUCCCAGCACAUAAUAAAGGCAUUUCCCAACCCCACCUAAGGACACGAUCAAGUGCGUUCGCUCACACAAACAGAGCCAUGGGCUGGCCCACCAGAAACCAUCUCUUGUUACAAAGCCAGAAUCUUUCCAUCUGUGUUUAAGCUCCAGCCCAUGAAAUAAUGUCCAUAAAAGUAAGAUUGGAAGUGAAAAUAGCCAACACAAUAAAUUAUGGCUACACUGUGUUCUCUCCUGAGGGACGCCCUGGCCAAAGAGCCUUCACUAUUUAUAUCUGGUACUGUGUUUUGUGUUUCCUCAGAAAGCAUUCCAUUUGUGGAUGGGAAGAAAGGGCCUAGACGGCUGAGGUCGAUCCAACAGAGCCGUGGUGCUUGGUUGGCUGUCCAUGCCUGGCAUCUUCCUUUCUCUUCCAAAGCAGAGUCGUUCAGCAGCAAAGCGUAGCCAAAGGCAGAUUGUCUAGGGGAAGACUUGUUGGCCAGUUUCCAUCACUACUGCCAUCUUCCCCCUUGCAACUCAACCACACCACCACAUCCCACCACGAUCACAGGCGUGGAUUCCAGAUACCACCGCCAACAUCCUCCUUUAAUUCCACCUACCAUUGCCCAGGCCUUGAAGAAGCGUUUGGCAGGAAGAGAAACCUGAAAGAGUCAUGGGACCACAGACUUGAGGGUUUAGAAUCUCAAGGGGGAUAUAGACCAGAUAAACAAAUAAGUACAGAUAACUUAGAACAAGAAGAAAAGUCAUCAGUUAGGCACUGAAAAGUUCUCCCCAAGUUUAAAAGAGGGAGAGAUGAGUCCUGCUGGAGAAUGUGACUUUUGAAUGGAACUUGGAAGGAUGGCUUGGAUUUGGACCUGCAGAAGAAAAAGGUCUUCUCAGAAGGGAUUGACUAAGGGAAAGCAUGAAAUUCUAACACAUGGAUGAGGAUGGAAUUCACGGAAUUCCUGCACCCUCAGGUACAUGAGGAGCAGUAAGGGAAAUCAGGCUGGAGGAGGGGUGGGAUGGACUCAGGGAAUGUGAUGGGUAAAAGAGCCAUUCAGUCUAGAGAUUUGGGUCUUUUUUGCGGGGAAAGUGGAGAGUCAGCUGACAGUUAUUGAGCUGAAAGUGGAUGGAGCUGCUUUUGGAGCUAAUCAUGAUAGUGGGAACUUGGGGCCAGGAACAUUCCCCUUUCUACACUCUCUUCCCUAAAAAUCCCACAAAACUUUUGAGUGUUAGCCACUUGCUUUAAAUCCUACCAUGUCAUACCUUGUCCUUUGGCAGUUGCCUUUGUGACAGAGGAGGGCACGGAGGAGAAUGAAACACGCGUAGCCGUUCUCUGUUCCUCAGACCGCAGGGCAAACGAGUGCAUCAGAACUUUUCUGAAGGGGGCGCUUUGCUUGGGAGGGGUGUAGUGUGAGGGUGCCAGGGUGCUUGUUGGGUUGGCAGGUACCACAGGGAAAAACGUAGCAAGGACACAAUCGUGGGCAUGCCCCACUUUUUUUUUUGAGAUAGGAUCUCGCU